UCUCUCAUACAUUCAUUUAGUUGGUUUGUUUCUCUACCUUGAUUUUGUAUGCCUACUUUUGCUAGAGUUUGAACAAUAAAAUAUUUAACCCUUUUCUGAUGGUGAGUUUGUUCUUGUUUUGUUAAUUUCAUAAGCUGCUGUAGUAAAACAAUAGAACCUGUCACAGAAUAUGCAAUAAAUAAUUGUGGAUUAAAAAAAAAAUUUACUUCAAGAAACCGCCAAAAAAAAAAAUCUUGUGUUGCAGUAGAAUUUAUAUGAACAAUGAAAAUGAUAUCAAUGAUCAAGAUAAAUUAGAAGCCUGUUAUCAAGGUCUAUGUGUUUUCUUAUGUAACUAAUAUGCUGUGUUUUCUUAUGUAACUAAUAUGCUAUGUUUUCAGCAUAAAUUAUUGUACAUAGAAGUUAUAGUUAUGUUAUUCUUAUAUAGAACAUUGGUAAUCACAAAGCAGUGGCCUCAGUUGAACUGUCUAUGCAUUAUAGGUUGAAAUUGUUGCUACUCGAACUGUAAUUUGUCUUUCCUUUUACCAGUUGUGUUUUGCAUGUGCUUGUGCUAGUAUUCUUGAGGUUUUCCCCCUUGUACGUAUGCUUAUACUUUGAGAAGUUUUAUUUGCCCAGCAUUUUUGUUUAAUGUAUUUAUGAACAAGUUGCAUGGUUGAAUGUACAUGUCUUUCUGCUACUACUCUAAAUCAGAUAUUACUGAAGGAACUUUCUUUGCCAGGAAUCCUGCCACAUUUCUUCAUG
rnacentral:misc_RNA from 1 species